CUUGUUAUAGUGUGUAAAAUCAUUGUGAAACACGACGUCACAUCCGCGCUGAAACUUCCUGUUUGCACUUCCUGGUUUCGUCCGGAACAUGGCGCCGACCAUCCCAAUCACGCUGUGUCAAUCUGUUUGCAGCCAAGCUCAAGUAUUCUACAGGGAAUGCCGUAAGCAUGUGUUUGGCCAGCUAUUGUCGGCCGGGUUGAGCGUGAACCAGGAAGUGCGGGGAUCUCGUGUGUUCUCUCGUUGCUGGGUAGUCGAAAAAGAAAGUUGCCGGGAAGCAGCAGGCAACCGUGUUUCUUUCCCUGACGAAAUCAGGCCGCCCCUUACCACGCAUCGUUUUCAUUGGCGCCAACUUCAUUCGGUAUCGAGUCGGCGUUCCAACACCCUGACGGAGAACACCGGAGUUGCCAUCUAACUCUGACGCCACACAAGCAAUGCUACAAGAUGAAAAGCCGCUUGGCGCUUAACAGCCCGUGGGAUCCCUCUGCAUCCAUCUCAACAUGAGCUCCAAAUCGUCAUGUGAUGCCAUACGUUCUCCAGUGGACUGUUUCACCUAUUGCACGCACAAGACGCCAUUUUCUGGAGCUUCAACCUUUUGCGUCCAUCAGCAGUCUGUCGGCCCCUGGGGAAGGACUCAUGUAACCGUGUUGGCACACCAUCAACAACAUGGCCUCGGCGUUCUUCACAGGUGACCACCAGAUGGCGGAAAUUCCCAAGUAUAGUUGCAGUAAUUUCAAGUGUCCACUAGAUGGCGGAAUAUCCCAAGGUAAGUUGCACUGCUUCUAAGUGACCAUCAGAUGGCGGAAUUUCACAUUUUAAGUUGCACUGCUUUUGGUGACCACUAGAUGGCGGAAUUUCACAUGUUAAGUUGCACUGCUUUUGGUGACCACUAGAUGGCGGAAUUUCACAUGUUAAUUUGCAGUACUUUUAAGUGACCACCAGAUGGCGAAAUUUCACAUUUGAAGUUGCACUGCUUUUGGUGACCACUAGAUGGCGGAAUUUCACAUUUUUAGUUGCACUGCUUUUGGUGACCACUAGAUGGCGGGAUUUCACAUGUUAAGUUGCAGUACUUUUAAGUCACCACUAGAUGGCGAAAUUUCACAUUUUAAGUUGCACUGCUUUUGGCGACCACUAGAUGGCGGGAUUUCACAUAUUAAGUUGCAGUACUUUUGGUGACCACUAGAUGGCGGAAUGUCACAUUUUAAGUUGCACUGCUUUUGGUGACCACUAGAUGGCGGAAUUUCACAUAUUAAGUUGCAGUACUUUUAAGUGACCACCAGAUGGCGAAAUUUCACAUUUUAAGUUGCACUGCUUUUGGUGACCACUAGAUGGCGGGAUUUCACAUUUUUAGUUGCACUGCUUUUAAGUCACCACUAGAUGGCGGGAUUUCACAUUUUAAGUUGCACUGCUUUUAAGUCACCACUAGAUGGCGGGAUUUCACAUUUUAAGUUGCACUGCUUUUGGUGACCACUAGAUGGCGGGAUUUCACAUGUUAAGUUGCACUGCUUUUGGUGACCACUAGAUGGCGGGAUUUCACAAUUUAAGUUGCAGUACUUUUAAGUGACCACUAGAUGGCGGAAUUUCACAUAUUAAGUUGCAGUACUUUUAAGUGACCACCAGAUGGCGAAAUUUCACAUUUUAAGUUGCACUGCUUUUGGUGACCACUAGAUGGCGGGAUUUCACAUUUUUAGUUGCACUGCUUUUGGUGACCACUAGAUGGCGGGAUUUCACAUGUUAAGUUGCACUG